rnacentral:rRNA from 1 species
CGGCUGGCGGCGUGCCUAACACAUGCAAGUCAACUUGACUGAAGAGCAAUCUGACAGUAGAGUGGCGCAAGGGUGCGUAACGCGUAAGUAACUUGCCCAAGGUAAGGAAUAACGUCGAGAAAUCGGCGCUAAUACCUCAUAAUGCAGCGGAUCCGCAUGGAUAUGUUGUUAAAGGUUUACCGCCUUGGGAUAGGCUUGCGUCUGAUUAGCUAGUUGGUGUGGUAACGGCACACCAAGGCUACGAUCAGUAACUGGUCUGAGAGGAUGAUCAGUCACACUGGAACUGAGACACGGUCCAGACUCCUACGGGAGGCAGCAGUGAGGAAUAUUGGGCAAUGCUCGAAAGAGUGACCCAGCAACGCCGCGUGGAGGAUGAAGGUAUUCUAUAUCGUAAACUCCUGUGAGAGCAGACGAAAGACAGAUUAUUAAUCUGGAUGACUGUAUGCUCAGAGGAAGCCCCGGCUAACUACGUG